rnacentral:rRNA from 1 species
GACGAACGCUGGCGGCGUGCUUAACACAUGCAAGUGGAGCGACGAACCGGGGCUUGCCCCGGGGCAGAGCCGCGAACGGGUGAGUAACACGUGGGUAACCUGCCUCAAUGAUUGGGACAACCCGGGGAAACUCGGGCUAAUACCAAAUGUGUUCACUCCUUUUAAGGGGAGUGAGGAAAGGAAGCUUCGGCCUCCGCAUUGAGAUGGGCCCGCGGCCCAUUAGCUUGUUGGUGAGGUAACGGCUCACCAAGGCUUCGAUGGGUAGCUGGUCUGAGAGGACGAUCAGCCACACUGGGACUGAGACACGGCCCAGACUCCUACGGGAGGCAGCAGUGGGGAAUCUUGCACAAUGCGCGAAAGCGUGAUGCAGCAACGCCGCGUGGGGGAA